AGUACCCACAGGAAGAGAAAACAAAAGUGAUUCCGUUAGUAGUGGCGAGCGAAACCGGAAGAGGCUAAACCGAUCAUGUGUGAUAGCCGGCAGGCGUUGCAUGGUCGGGGUUGCGGGACUUUUCAGCAGCUUCUGCCGAACUGCAAGCGUUACAGAGGAUCAUAGGCGAAUGGCAUUGAAAGGCCAGUCACAGAGGGUGCCAACCCCGUAGCCGAAAUGGUCCAAUGGCGCGAAGAGUAUCCCAAGUAGCACGGGGCCCGAGAAAUCCCGUGUGAAUCUGUCAGGACCACCUGAUAAGCCUAAAUACUCCCAGAUGACCGAUAGCGGACAAGUACCGUGAGGGAAAGGUGAAAAGUACCCCGGGAGGGGAGUGAAAUAGUACCUGAAACCGUGUGCCUACAAGCCGUGGGAGCGUCGUGCACUUCGGUGUGCCGUGACUGCGUGCCUUUUGAAGAAUGAGCC
rnacentral:rRNA from 1 species